AUUUCAAAAAACUUAAGGUUUAAAUACAGUAGAAGCCGCUUAUUAGAAACACGGAUUAUUGAUACAAUCGCGUUAUUGAAACAAAAUGUACCAGGACGGAUCGCCCGUAUAUUAGGACAUUUAAAUCGCUUAUUCGAAACAAUCGGUUAAUUGACACAUUUCACUUUGGUCCCAAAGUGUUUCUAAUAAGCGGCUUCUACUGUAAUUAAUAUUUAAAUAGAAAAUACGGGUUAACAAUAAUACAAUUGAUAGAAAAAUUUUUAAUGACAUUCACAAUAUCUGAUGUUAAGGCAAUUUAUAGAGUAACAAUAACAUUUAAAACAACUCGAGAGAGUUUACACAUUUCCUUUAGGUAAACAUAAUAUUGACCCGGGAGAGCUUACACAUUUCGUUCAGGUAAACAUAAAGUUUACCCUGGAAAAUUUACACAUUUCCUUCAGGUGAACAUAGAUUGACCCGGGAGAGUUUACCAUACAAUCGGGAGAGUUAACCACCGCCCAUAAUAAAUGUAAAUUAAAAAUGCUCAUAACUCACUUAUCGUUUGGUGGCGAAAUAAACCGCGCGAAACGGUGGAUGCGAAAUGAACGAGUCCGCUCGUGGUUGGUUGGCUAUAAUGUGAAGAAAAAUAGCGACCUCAGUUUUACCACAGAACUGGUUUUACGCGAGUGUUUCACCCAACCAUCCACCCACUCGUCUAUUUACCCAUGACAUUAUUAUUGUCAUGAGCAAAACCAUCAUUUUUUUUUUUUCGUCAUCGAUCAAUGGAUUAGUCGUCAUUCGUCGUCCGUCGGUCUGCUGUAACGUCUUCGCUUCGUCCACGAACAGUGAGUAAUACUGAUACGCCACAAUGUUCCCAAUCGAAUAUUACGACAAUAUUCCGGUUGUGACUGACAAUAGUACCGUUCACGACGAUAUUGGCAACACAUACUUAUCAGCCAUACAUUAAGCAAAAAUGGCAAAAUACAACUUGCACGAAAAUAAUUAUGCUGAAAUUAAAGCCUUGCUUGCAUAAUAUUAUUAAGGAAAUGAUUCAGAUUUGGAUUUGUAGCUGAAAAAUAACAAGCAGAUCAGAAUUUAAUAUGGGUCGUACGCUUGCGAUCCAUAAUGGACUACAAAAUUAAUAUUCUUAUAAUUAAUGAACAUCAAAAAUUAAACCGAAGAAAAAAAUUAAGUUACAUAACAGGAAUUUAUGAAAUAAAAAAAUUCCAAAUUGACGGAAUCAAAUACCGGCAAGUUAAGACUUUCCGGUAUUUGAUUAAAGAUGUUAAUAAACAGGACUUUGUCAAUAAAUCAAUUCUGCAGUAUGCAAAACUUAGUCAUUCUUCAUUCAGUUCCAACACAAGUAAUAAUUGACGAAUUAUUUUAUAAACACCUUAAUGACGACGGUGAGUUAAAGUUUUUAUAACCUCACAUCACUGAUAUUGAAUAAUUGUGAGUUAUUAUUGUGUAAACAAAUGAAACAAAAGUGGACAUGUGGAUGCCGCUCUGCUGUA